rfam:Triticum aestivum genome assembly, contig: Triticum_aestivum_CS42_TGACv1_scaffold_031417_1BL
AUAGUACUCCCUCUGUCCGGAAAUACUUGUCAUCAAAAUGGAUAAAAGAGGAUGUAUCUUGAUGUAUUUUAGUUCUAGAUACAUUUCCUUUUAUCCAUUUUGAUGACAAGUAUUUUCGGACGGAGGGAGUACUCC